rnacentral:rRNA from 1 species
UACGUAGGGUGCAAGCGUUGUCCGGAAUUAUUGGGCGUAAAGAGCUCGUAGGCGGUCUGUCGCGUCGGCUGUGAAAUCCCGGAGCUCAACUCCGGGUCUGCAGUCGAUACGGGCAAACUGGAGUACUGCAGGGGAGACUGGAAUUCCUGGUGUAGCGGUGGAAUGCGCAGAUAUCAGGAGGAACACCGGUGGCGAAGGCGGGUCUCUGGGCAGUAACUGACGCUGAGGAGCGAAAGCGUGGGGAGCGAACAGG